rnacentral:rRNA from 1 species
GACGAACGCUGGCGGCGUGCUUAACACAUGCAAGUCGAACGGAAAGGCCCUGCUUUUGUGGGGUGCUCGAGUGGCGAACGGGUGAGUAACACGUGAGUAACCUGCCCUUGACUUUGGGAUAACUUCAGGAAACUGGGGCUAAUACCGGAUAGGAGCUCCUGCUGCAUGGUGGGGGUUGGAAAGUUUCGGCGGUUGGGGAUGGACUCGCGGCUUAUCAGCUUGUUGGUGGGGUAGUGGCUUACCAAGGCUUUGACGGGUAGCCGGCCUGAGAGGGUGACCGGCCACAUUGGGACUGAGAUACGGCCCAGACUCCUACGGGAGGCAGCAGUGGGGAAUAUUGCACAAUGGGCGGAAGCCUGAUGCAGCAACGCCGCGUGCGGGAUGACGGCCUUCGGGUUGUAAACCGCUUUCGCCUGUGACGAAGCGUGAGUGACGGUAAUGGGUAAAGAAGCACCGGCUAACUACGUGCCAGCAGCCGCGGUGAUACGUAGGGUGCGAGCGUUGUCCGGAUUUAUUGGGCGUAAAGGGCUCGUAGGUGGUUGAUCGCGUCGGAAGUGUAAUCUUGGGGCUUAACCCUGAGCGUGCUUUCGAUACGGGUUGACUUGAGGAAGGUAGGGGAGAAUGGAAUUCCUGGUGGAGCGGUGGAAUGCGCAGAUAUCAGGAGGAACACCAGUGGCGAAGGCGGUUCUCUGGGCCUUUCCUGACGCUGAGGAGCGAAAGCGUGGGGAGCGAACAGGCUUAGAUACCCUGGUAGUCCGCGCUGUAAACGGUGGGUACUAGGUGUGGGGUCCAUUCCACGGGUUCCGUGCCGUAGCUAACGCUUUAAGUACCCCGCCUGGGGAGUACGGCCGCAAGGCUAAAACUCAAAGGAAUUGACGGGGCCCCGCACAAGCGGCGGAGCAUGCGGAUUAAUUCGAUGCAACGCGUAGAACCUUACCUGGGUUUGACAUGGAUCGGGAGUGCUCAGAGAUGGGUGUGCCUCUUUUGGGGUCGGUUCACAGGUGGUGCAUGGCUGUCGUCAGCUCGUGUCGUGAGAUGUUGGGUUAAGUCCCGCAACGAGCGCAACCCUUGUUCACUGUUGCCAGCACGUUAUGGUGGGGACUCAGUGGAGACCGCCGGGGUCAACUCGGAGGAAGGUGGGGAUGACGUCAAGUCAUCAUACCCCUUAUGUCCAGGGCUUCACGCAUGCUACAAUGGCUGGUACAGAGAGUGGCGAGCCUGUGAGGGUGAGCGAAUCUCGGAAAGCCGGUCUCAGUUCGGAUUGGGGUCUGCAACUCGACCUCAUGAAGUCGGAGUCGCUAGUAAUCGCAGAUCAGCAACGCUGCGGUGAAUACGUUCCCGGGGCU